AUUGAACGCUGGCGGCAUGCCUUACACAUGCAAGUCGAACGGCAGCACGGGAGCAAUCCUGGUGGCGAGUGGCGAACGGGUGAGUAAUAUAUCGGAACGUGCCCGGUCGUGGGGAUAACGUAGCGAAAGCUACGCUAAUACCGCAUACGAUCUACGGAUGAAAGCGGGGGAUCGCAAGACCUCGCGCGAUUGGAGCGGCCGAUAUCAGAUUAGGUAGUUGGUGAGGUAAAGGCUCACCAAGCCGACGAUCUGUAGCUGGUCUGAGAGGACGACCAGCCACACUGGGACUGAGACACGGCCCAGACUCCUACGGGAGGCAGCAGUGGGGAAUUUUGGACAAUGGGCGCAAGCCUGAUCCAGCAAUGCCGCGUGCAGGA
rnacentral:rRNA from 1 species